UGAGAUUAUCCGUAGUGGGUAAAACUAAUUCUCUAACAUUGAAUUAACGCAACAAAAAUUCAAAGUACCUCAUAGCCGGGAUAAAUCGAGAAAAAGGUCUAAAAGUAAUCAGUGAUAAGCAAAUCGAAUAUUUGAACUACAAAAAAAGGUGGUAAUCAAAGUGUUGAGAAGAUAGAAGUCACUUUCUAUUUUAAGAACAGUGAAACGACCAGGUAAACUACAAAAACUCUUAAUCGAAAGCAUUCCAGCCACGUCUACGUAAGAAAGACAUCUAAAUUCGUGAAGAUUGGAUCUGUCGCUAACAAAAAACAUGAAAGGCAUCACAUUGUUCAAACAGGGAUGCAGAAGUUGCAAUUUUGGAACAUAUUGAGCGGGAUCCUAUACCAAGCAUCAGAAAAUUGGAAUCUACUUCAGGAAUUCUACGUAGAAGUCUUCAGAGGAUAUUCAAUUUUGGAAAUUCUUGAAAAUGUCCGCUACAUUACACAAUGAUACAUUUUAUCAAUAAGUCUCGUCCCGCCACACUAAACAGCUCCUGUGCAUGACUUUUUCGAUCGAUAUUUUCCCGAACAGUAGAUUGGUAAAAGGGGUUCCAUUAAAAGGAUGUUAUCUACAAAAUGUGGAAGAAAGAUAUUAUCAUUGUAUGGAAGUAAAUAGAUUACAGUCUAAACAUUAAAUCGAUUAAAGCAUG
rnacentral:lncRNA from 1 species